AAGCGCCUCUGUUUUGUAGGCU
rnacentral:snRNA from 1 species